UACGGAGGGUGCAAGCGUUGUUCGGAAUCAUUGGGCGUAAAGCGUGCGCAGGCGGUUUUUCAAGUCUGGUGUGAAAUCCCGGGGCUCAACCUCGGACGUGCACUGGAAACUGGAAAACUUGAAUUCGAGAGAGGUCUGUAGAAUUCCAGGUGUAGGGGUGAAAUCCGUAGAGAUCUGGAGGAAUACCGGUGGCGAAGGCGACAGACUGGAUCGACAUUGACGCUGAGGCACGAAAGCGUGGGUAGCAAACAGG
rnacentral:misc_RNA from 1 species